UACGUAGGGUGCGAGCGUUGUCCGGAAUUACUGGGCGUAAAGAGCUCGUAGGUGGUUUGUCGCGUUGUUCGUGAAAACUCACAGCUCAACUGUGGGCGUGCGGGCGAUACGGGCAGACUAGAGUACUGCAGGGGAGACUGGAAUUCCUGGUGUAGCGGUGGAAUGCGCAGAUAUCAGGAGGAACACCGGUGGCGAAGGCGGGUCUCUGGACGGAUACUGACGCUGAGACGCGAAAGCGUGGGGAGCAAACAGG
rnacentral:rRNA from 1 species